rnacentral:rRNA from 1 species
GAUGAACGUUGGCGGUGUGCCUAAUACAUGCAAGUCGAACGGAGUUAAUAGCAAUAUUGACUUAGUGGCGAACGGGUGAGUAACGCGUUGGUGAUCUGCCUUGAAGUGUGGAAUAACGCUCCGAAAGGAGCGCUAAUACCGCAUGUGCUCUCAAUUUUUAGAAACUUGAGAGGAAAGGAUUUAUUCGCUUCGAGAGGAGCCUGCGUCCCAUCAGCUGGUUGGUAGGGUAAAGGCCUACCAAGGCAAUGACGGGUAGGGGACCUGAGAGGGUCGGCCCCCCACAAUGGAACUGAAACACGGUCCAUACACCUACGGGUGGCUGCAGUAGGGAAUAUUAGAAAUGGACGAAAGUCUGAUCUAGCAACACCGCGUGUGCGAAGAAGGCCUUCGGGUCGUAAAGCACUUUUUGGAAGGAAUAGGAAGGAAUGUACUUCCAGAAUAAGUCUCGGCUAACUACGUG